GAAUGGAGUUCAGUUGAACAUAUCUUAAUAGAAUCGGGACUUUAUUGGUUUGUAACUAAAGAAUAAAUUAUAAUUGUUUGUGAAUUCAAAUUAGGAAUUUGGUGAAUCAAAAAAUGACCUUAAUGCACCGAUCAAACAAAAUUUACCACAAAAAACUACACGUGAUUAUUGCUGAUAGGAAUAAUAUUUCUGAUUGAAAACUCAUUAACAUAGGUACUGAGAAAAGAUAACAGAAAAAAACAUUGUAUUAAAACUAAUACACGCUUCACUCAGAAUCUAAUAAGAUUGUGUA